rnacentral:rRNA from 1 species
CAUUCACGGAGAGUUUGAUCCUGGCUCAGGACGAACGCUGGCGGCGUGCUUAACACAUGCAAGUCGAACGAUG